rnacentral:rRNA from 1 species
AGCGAACGUUAGCGGCGGGCCUAACACAUGCAAGUCGUACGAGAACGCUCCUUCGGGAGUUAUUAAAGUGGCGCACGGGUGAGGAACGCGUAGGUAAUCUACCCUCAGGCCGGGGGACAACACUCCGAAAGGAAUGCUAAUACCGCGUAAGACCACACUCACUAAGGUGAGAGUGGUAAAAGAUGGCCUCUUCUUGAAAGCUAUCACCAGAGGAUGAGCCUGCGUCCCAUCAGCUUGUUGGUAAGGUAACGGCUUACCAAGGCGAAGACGGGUAGCUGGUCUGAGAGGAUGAUCAGCCACACUGGCACUGGAACACGGGCCAGACUCCUACGGGAGGCAGCAGUGAGGAAUAUUGGGCAAUGGGCGCAAGCCUGACCCAGCCACGCCGCGUGUGUGAUGAAGGCCUUCGGGUCGUAAAGCACUGUGGGAGGGACGAAAAACCUCCGUUCGAAUAGGACGGAGGCUUGACGGUACCUCCUUAGCAAGCACCGGCUAACUCUGUG